GCACAAGCAGUGGAGUAUGUGGUUUAAUUCGAAGCAACGCGAAGAACCUUACCAGGUCUUGACAUCCAACUAACGAAGCAGAGAUGCAUCAGGUGCCCUUCGGGGAAAGUUGGGACAGGUGGUGCAUGGUUGUCGUCAGCUCGUGUCGUGAGAUGUUGGGUUAAGUCCCGCAACGAGCGCAACCCUUGUCAUUAGUUGCUACGCAAGAGCACUCUAAUGAGACUGCCGUUGACAAAACGGAGGAAG
rnacentral:rRNA from 1 species